rnacentral:rRNA from 1 species
UACGAAGGGUGCAAGCGUUGUUCGGAAUUACUGGGCGUAAAGCGCGCGUAGGCGGUCUAUUAAGUCAGACGUGAAAGCCCUGGGCUUAACCCGGGAAUUGCGUUUGAUACUGGUAGACUAGGAGAUUCAGAGAGGUGAGUGGAAUUCCUAGUGUAGAGGUGAAAUUCGUAGAUAUUAGGAGGAACAUCAGUGGCGAAGGCGGCUCACUGGCUGAAUACUGACGCUAAGGCGCGAAAGCGUGGGGAGCAAACA